CUAGUUCUAUGAUGAAGCAAUGGAAAUCGCACUAGACAGUGCAUGAAAUGCAUGAUUAUAAUCUCCAUGCUGCCUUCCUUCUGAGGACUCU